rnacentral:rRNA from 1 species
AAAUGGACUCUCAGCAACGGAUAUCUUGGCUCUUGCAACG